rnacentral:rRNA from 1 species
UAAGUCCUACGGGGCGCAGCAGUGAGGAAUAUUGGUCAAUGGGAGAGAUCCUGAACCAGCCAAGCCGCGUGAGGGAAGACGGCCCUAUGUGUUGUAAACCUCUUUUGUCGGAGAACAAAACCCGGGACGUGUCCCGGACUGCGUGUAUCCGAAGAAAAAGCAUCGGCUAACUCCGUGCCAGCAGCCGCGGUAAUACGGAGGAUGCGAGCGUUAUCCGGAUUUAUUGGGUUUAAAGGGUGCGUAGGCGGUCCGUUACGUCAGCGG